rnacentral:rRNA from 1 species
GAUGAACGCUGGCGGCGUGCCUAACACAUGCAAGUCGAACGGACUUUUCAUGAAGCCUAGCGAUUGAAAAGUUAGUGGCGGACGGGUGAGUAACGCGUGGGUAACCUGCCUUGUACUGGGGGACAACAGUUGGAAACGACUGCUAAUACCGCAUAAGCGCACAGCUUCGCAUGAAGCGGUGUGAAAAACUCCGGUGGUACAAGAUGGACCCGCGUCUGAUUAGCUGGUUGGUGAGGUAACGGCCCACCAAGGCGACGAUCAGUAGCCGGCCUGAGAGGGUGAACGGCCACAUUGGGACUGAGACACGGCCCAAACUCCUACGGGAGGCAGCAGUGGGGAAUAUUGCACAAUGGGGGAAACCCUGAUGCAGCGACGCCGCGUGAGUGAUGAAGUAUUUCGGUAUGUAAAACUCUAUCAGCAGGGAAGAUAAUGACGGUACCUGACUAAGAAGCACCGGCUAAAUACGUG